rnacentral:rRNA from 1 species
AUUGAACGCUGGCGGCAUGCUUUACACAUGCAAGUCGAACGGUAACAGGCCGCAAGGUGCUGACGAGUGGCGAACGGGUGAGUAAUGCAUCGGAACGUGCCCAGUCGUGGGGGAUAACGCAGCGGAAGCUGCGCUAAUACCGCAUACGAUCUAUGGAUGAAAGCGGGGGCCCGUAAGGCCUCGCGCGAUUGGAGCGGCCGAUGUCAGAUUAGGUAGUUGGGGGGGUAAAGGCUCACCAAGCCAACGAUCUGUAGCUGGUCUGAGAGGACGACCAGCCACACUGGGACUGAGACACGGCCCAGACUCCUACGGGAGGCAGCAGUGGGGAAUUUUGGACAAUGGGCGCAAGCCUGAUCCAGCAAUGCCGCGUGCAGGAAGAAGGCCUUCGGGUUGUAAACUGCUUUUGUACGGAACGAAACGGUCCUGGUUAAUACCCGGGGCUAAUGACGGUACCGUAAGAAUAAGCACCGGCUAACUACGUGCCAGCAGCCGCCGUAAAAC